AACGCUUAGUGUAUAAUAAUAAUGUUCCAGCAUAAUAUUUUAAGCAUUCUGUGUUACGGCCAAUAUUUUAUAUCAACAAUUCAGUUUUACAUUAAUACGGAAAACGAAACAACACUCGAUGGACAAAGUUUUAUUAAAAAUAUUAUUAAUGGGAAAGAUUCAUAUGCUAUCAGUGAUAUUUAUCUCUGGUACUUUGGCGAAUGUUUCUCUUAGAAGAGGCGUCUCCAUGACCACUGUAGGAGUAACAAGAAGCGGUUUUAUUCGUAGACAUGGAACUAAUAUGGAUUUGGAUCAUGAUCUUCUAGAAUGCAAAUGUCCACCAAAUAAUGAGUGCAAGAUAGAGUAUAAAUUAGACAAAAAUGCCUUACAUCUUCAACAUCUACGUGGUAUAGUAAAGGAUCAUGACCUCCGAAGGUUUUAUAAAGAAAACAACGAGUCAAUCGUUGUAAGACGAAGACGCAAUAGUGGUAAUACGUGUUGCUGUCCAAUAGUAGUAGCAAAAGUACCAGCUUUUAUAACGGAAAAAAGGUUUAAGGAUGUCAUAAAACGUUUUGAAAAUAAUAAAAUCUCAGAGUCUAAAUGAAUAAAUUACUUUAUUAAAUAUGCUGUGUAGACGAAAGGCGAAACCAUGCGUUUGAUUGCAUUUAGACCAACGGACAAAAUAUCACGCGUGUUGUGAACACUGUUGACCUAGUGGCUUCAGCGUACAACUCUCAUCCUUGAGGUCGUAGGUUCGAUCCCCGGCUGUGCACAAAUGGACCUUCUGUCUUUAUGUGCAUUUAACAUUCUCUCGAACGCUGAAGGAAACCGGCUUGCCUUAGACCCAAAAAGUCAACGGCAUGUGUUAAGCACAGAAAGCUGAUCACCUACUUGCCUAUUGGAAUGACAAAUUAUAAUUAAACAGAUACAGGAGACCCAGAUUGUAGCCCCACUA